GCAGGUAGGAGGCUAUCUGUCCAGUCACUGCUAACAACACCACUCAGUUCAUCCCUGCUGUCUGCAAAGAAGUUCCGCUCAAAGGAAAGUUUGUGUGAUGCUGGAGGACAGAGAUACACAGACUCAUCUUGCCUUAACAUGGCACCUAGGAGGGAGUUUGGAUCCACAGAAUCCCCAUGUAAUGUAGUUUUGCCUCCUUUUCCUGUGGUGGUUUUACUCCUUGGCUGAGAGGUAUCCGAUAAGCUGGACAUAGGGAAAGUUAGCUCAUAUAACACAGCCUCACCAGUGGCAAACAUGAAGGGCAACUUCAUGUUACGCUUCCGUAGAUGUUCUGCUCCUUCUUCAUCUGUAAGAGGUCUUUGUGUGGAAAUAAUGUAAUCUGGUCUUCCAUUUUUAUAGACAAGGCGUGCAUUUGCCUGUACCCAGGCCCACCGAUUUUCUUUGGUUAGAAGCCUGAAGACAGUCAUUCCACUCUCACCCGUCUUCAUCAUUCGGACAUGAUUUUCAGCACAAUAAAGCAUAUCAGCUGCAUGAAUGAACUGGUAUCC
rnacentral:lncRNA from 1 species